CUUAACCCACUGAGCCGCCCAUGUGACCCUAUUUUGAAGCUAUUUUAUUUUAUUUUUUAAAAAGAUUUUUAUUUAUUUAUUCAUGAGAGACAGAGAGAGAGGCAGAGACACAGGCAGAGGGACAGAGGGAGAAGCAGGCUCCAUGCAGGGAGCCCGACGUGGGACUCCAGGAUCAUGCCCUGGGCCGAAGAUUCAAAGAAGGAAACUGUGGUGAGUUACUGCCACCUGCUGACCAUUUUCCUGAACAUCAGGAUGGAGGACUGCCCACUACUCAAGGACAAAGAGGGCCUUGUGCACUCUGAGGUCACCACCGGCCCCCAAGGACAGCCCCAGGACGAUGGUGGGCACCCAGACGCAGACCCCUUGAUCUCCCUACUAUACCAAGGCUGGGCAGCGACCUCCUGAGGGAGAAAACGUUGGCAAUUGGAGGCAACCUAAUGAAGUGACCUUAAGAAAUAAAGGCACAGGUUUCUACCUCCACAGUGCAAAUGCACCUCAUUCAUUUCUGCAAAUAAGCCUUUGCAUCUCCUGAGUCUAGCAAUAAAAAUAGAUUCUGGAAUCCCA